CCUACGGGUGGCAGCAGUGAGGAAUAUUGGUCAAUGGACGAGAGUCUGAACCAGCCAAGUAGCGUGAAGGAUGACUGCCCUAUGGGUUGUAAAAUUCUUUUAUAUGGGAAUAAAACGUUCCACGUGUGGGAUUUUGUCUGUACCAUAUGAAUAAGGAUAGGCUAACUCCGUGCCAGCUGCCGCGGUAAUACGGAGGAUCCGAGCGUUAUCCGGAUUUAUUGGGUUUAAAGGGUGCGUAGGUGGAUUGUUAAGUCAGUUGUGAAAGUUUGCGGCUCAACCAUAAAAUUGCAGUUGAAACUGGCAGUCUUGAGUACAGUAGAGGUAGGCGGAAUUCGUGGUGUAGCGGUGAAAUGCUUAGAGAUCACGAAGAACUCCGAUUGCGAAGGCAGUUCACUGGACUGCAACUGACACUGAGGCUCGAAAGUGUGGGUAGCAAACAGGAUUAGAUACCCGAGUAGUC
rnacentral:rRNA from 1 species